GACGAACGCUGGCGGCGUGCCUAAUACAUGCAAGUAGAACGCUGAAGGAGGAGCUUGCUUCUCUGGAUGAGUUGCGAACGGGUGAGUAACGCGUAGGUAACCUGCCUGGUAGCGGGGGAUAACUAUUGGAAACGAUAGCUAAUACCGCAUAAUAGCAGUUGUUGCAUGACAACUGUUUGAAAGGUGCAAUUGCACCACUACCAGAUGGACCUGCGUUGUAUUAGCUAGUUGGUGGGGUAACGGCUCACCAAGGCGACGAUACAUAGCCGACCUGAGAGGGUGAUAGGCCACACUGGGACUGAGACACGGCCCAGACUCCUACGGGAGGCAGCAGUAGGGAAUCUUCGGCAAUGGACGGAAGUCUGACCGAGCAACGCCGCGUGAGUGAAGAAGGUUGUCGGAUCGUAAAGCUCUGUUGUAAGAGAAGAACGAGUGUGAGAGUGGAAAGUUCACACUGUGACGGUAUCUUACCAGAAAGGGACGGCUAACUACGUG
rnacentral:rRNA from 1 species